rnacentral:sRNA from 1 species
GCCAGGGGCGGUGGUGCACACCUGUAAUCCCAGCUGCUCGGGAGGCUGAGGCAGGAGGAUCGUGAGUUCAAAGCCAGCCUUGGCUAAAAGCGAGGAGUUAAGCAACUCAGUGAGACCCUGUCUCUA